rnacentral:rRNA from 1 species
AUUGAACGCUGGCGGCAGGCCUAACACAUGCAAGUCGAACGAGUGGCGGACGGGUGAGUAAUGUCUGGGAAACUGCCUGAUGGAGGGGGCUAACUACUGGAAACGGUAGCUAAUACCGCAUACCAUCGGAUGUGCCCAGAUGGGAUUAGCUAGUAGGUGGGGUAACGGCGCACCUAGGAGACGAUCCCUAGCUGGUCUGAGAGGAUGACCGGCUACACGGGAAGUGAGAAGCGUUCCAGACUCCGACGGGAGGCAGCAGUGGGGAAUAGUGCACAAUGGGCGCAAGCCUGAUGCAGCCAUGCCGCGUGUAUGAAGAAGGCCUUCGGGUUGUAAAGUACUUUCAGCGGGGAGGCGUUACCCGCAGAAGAAGCACCGGCUAACUCCGUGCCAGCAGCCGCGGUAAUAC